rnacentral:rRNA from 1 species
GACAGAGGGUGCAAACGUUGCUCGGAAUUACUGGGCGUAAAGCGCGUGUAGGCGGGCCAUCAAGUCGGACGUGAAAUCCCUGAGCUCAACUCAGGAACUGCAUCCGAAACUGGUGGCCUGGAGUGGUGGAGAGGGAAGCAGAAUUCCUGGUGUAGAGGUGAAAUUCGUAGAUAUCAGGAGGAACGACCGGUGGCGAAGGCGGCUUCCUGGACACUUACUGACGCUGAGGCGG